AUCAGGAAGUUCUAGUGGGGAAGCAAGGAAGGUAAACGAAAGCCACACUGGGUUUCCUGGAAAUCGAUGGCAUAGCCGAAGGGAAUGGGGGGUCUCGGAUUCAAAGAUUUUGAGUUGUUCAACUUGGCCAUGCUGGCCAGGCAGGCUUGGCGCAUACUGCAGAAUCCGGGGACACUAAGCGCCCGCUUGCUGAAAAGCAUCUACUUCCCAACCAUUGAUUUUCUUGAGGCUGGAUUGGGUAGCCACCCUAGCCAAGUCUGGAGAGCAAUCAUCGAAGGACGGGACACUCUUAAGCAAGGCUUGAUCAAACUUAUUGGCAACGGGGCAUCUACAUUGGGAAGACAACUGGCUACCACGAGAUGCAAUGCUUCGACCAUAUGGAUGCUUAACAAAAAAAAUGCCCCACCAUGGUCACGGAACUCAUAG
rnacentral:rRNA from 1 species